AGCAGCCGCGGUAAUUCCAGCUCCAAUAGCGUAUAUUAAAGUUGUUGCAGUUAAAAAGCUCGUAGUUGAAUUUCGGGAUUAAUAUGUUGGUCGUGCCUUGGUACGUACUGGCAUUAUUGAUUCCUACCUUCUGAAGAACCUCGAUGUCAUUAAUUUGGUGUCUUGGGGAAUCAGGACCGUUACUUUGAAAAAUUAGAGUGUUUAAAGCAGGCUCGCGCUUGAAUACAUUAGCAUGGAAUAAUGAAAUAGGACGUUUGAUUCUAUUUUGUUGGUUUCUAGGAUCGACGUAAUGAUUAAUAGGGAUAGUUGGGGGCAUUAGUAUUCAAUUGUCAGAGGUGAAAUUCUUGGAUUUAUUGAAGACUGACUACUGCGAAAGCAUUUGCCAAGGAUGUUUUCAUUAAUCAAGAACGAAAGUUAGGGGAUCGAAGACGAUCAGAUACCGUCGUAGUCUUAACCAUAAACUAUGCCGACUAGGGAUCGGAUGAUGUUAAUUUUUAAUGUACUCAUUCGGCGCCUUAAC
rnacentral:misc_RNA from 1 species